UACGUAGGGUGCAAGCGUUGUUCGGAAUCAUUGGGCGUAAAGGGCGCGUAGGCGGUUUGGUAAGUCAGAUGUGAAAGCCCAGGGCUCAACCUUGGAAGUGCAUCUGAGACUGCUGAACUAGAGUAUCGGAGAGGGUGGUGGAAUUCCCAGUGUAGAGGUGAAAUUCGUAGAUAUUGGGAGGAACACCGGUGGCGAAGGCGGCAUCCUGGACCGGUAUUGACGCUGAGGCGCGAAAGCCAGGGGAGCAAACGGG
rnacentral:rRNA from 1 species